CCUACGGGAGGCUGCAGUGGGGAAUCUUGCACAAUGGAGGAAACUCUGAUGCAGCGACGCCGCGUGAGCGAUGAAGCCCCUCGGGGUGUAAAGCUCUUUCGACGGGAACGAUAAUGACGGUACCCGGAGAAGAAGCUGCGGCUAACUACGUGCCAGCAGCCGCGGUAAUACGUAGGCAGCAAACGUUGUUCGGAAUUACUGGGCGUAAAGAGUGUGUAGGCGGUUCUGCAAGUUUGGUGUGAAAUCUCCCGGCUUAACUGGGAGGGUGCGCCGAAAACUGCAAGGCUAGAGUACUGGAGAGGAAAGCGGAAUUCCUGGUGUAGCGGUGAAAUGCGUAGAUAUCAGGAGGAACACCGGUGGUGUAGACGGCUUUCUGGACAGUCACUGACGCUGAGACACGAAAGCGUGGGGAGCAAACAGGAUUAGAUACCCCUGUAGUC
rnacentral:rRNA from 1 species